UUCGGUCCCUAUCUGCCGUGGGCGCUGGAGAACUGAGGGGGGCUGCUCCUAGUACGAGAGGACCGGAGUGGACGCAUCACUGGUGUUCGGGUUGUCAUGCCAAUGGCACUGCCCGGUAGCUAAAUGCGGAAGAGAUAAGUGCUGAAAGCAUCUAAGCACGAAACUUGCCCCGAGAUGAGUUCUCCCUGAGACUUUAAGUCUCCUGAAGGAACGUUGAAGACGACGACGUUGAUAGGCCGGGUGUGUAAGCGCAGCGAUGCGUUGAGCUAACCGGUACUAAUGAACCGUGAGGCUUAACCUUACAACGCCGAAG
rnacentral:rRNA from 1 species